rnacentral:lncRNA from 1 species
CUCCGCGCCGCCGCCCAUCUCCUCUGCCACCAUGUCUCUCUGCCGGGCCGCCUCGCUGGCGCUGGCCUCCCGCCUGAGCAGGGCUCCCGCCGCCGCCAGCCGCCUCAAGCAGCGUGCACCUCCUCGCCAGAUGUCAUCUGGGAGUGUUCCUGGCUCUUCUGGAGACAGGAUGACGAUCUAUCUCCUUGCUGGUGUUGCAGCUUUUGGUGGUUUAUUUUAUGCCUACAGAGUAGUCAAUUCAUCCCACAGCAAGUUUAUCAAACAUACAAAUAUUCUUCAUGAGAGAGCAGAGGGGCAGAAGAACAAUCCUUGGUCAAGGAAGGAAGGUGAUGGAGAAGAGACAGAUGAAGUCACUGAAGCAGAGGCUGAGGAAGAGGCUGAUACAGCAGCUGCUGUUGAACCUUCAGCACAGGAUGAGAGUGCUGGACCCACAGCACAGGAUGAGACUUCCAGGGUAUCCGCAGAAGCUAAAGGGGAAAAUGACUUACUGGCUCCAGAGGUAUCCCAUGCUAUGGAGGAAGCACAGCAGGAAGCUGCUGCUAAUUCGGAAGCUGCUGCUAAUUUGGAACUUGCUGCUAAUUCAGAAGCUGCUGCAGUUGAAGUUUCUGAGGAGAAGACAAUGGAAGAAGUUGCUAAAGAGCACUAAAGGUACACAGCACAGUUGCAGCAUGUGUAAGCAGUGUGGAUGCGUCUGGAAAGUUUAAUGCAAAUAUUUGUGGCAAUCAACCAGCUGAUUCCUGUGUGAAACCUCAUACUCUUCUUUGAAGACAUAAAAGAAACUGUGCAGUUUGUCCUACUACACACUGGUUAUUACAGCCAGUAUUCAGUGCUGCAAGAGAUGAUUUAUGUGGCUUAGAGAAACGCUUCUGUGAUUAACACCUCUGCUGUAGAAAGUAGCAUUCAUCAAGCCACUCAGUAUGUCCUAAAUAAAUGUGCUAAGAGAAGCA